GCAAGUCGAACGAGAUUUCUUAAUUAGAAGCUUCGGUGGACGAUUAAGAAUGAGAGUGGCAAACGGGUGCGUAACACGUGAACAAUCUGCCCUAAAGAUCGGAAUAGCUUGGGGAAACUCAAAUUAAUGCCGGAUGUGGCACGUCAACUCAUGUUGAUAGUGCUAAAGCUUGAAAUGGCGCUUUAGGAGGAGUUCGCGGCCUAUCAGCUUGUUGGUGAGGUAAUGGCUCACCAAGGCGACGAUCCCUAGCUGGUCUGAGAGGAUGAUC
rnacentral:rRNA from 1 species